GGCUGGUCUUGUUGUCCCUCUUUGUGCUCCUCCCAUUUGCAGGUGUGCCUGAUCGGGUGAUUGGAGUGCAGGAUACUUAAAGCUGGCUGUCUCCGUCUUUCAGCGGCGCUGGGUGGCUUGUCGCUGGUCGUUGGUCACUGGUCGUUGGUGGUUUGUCGCCUAUGGCCCUCAGCGUCCAUCCUGCAGAGGCAAUGGUAGUUGCCAGGCCCCAGCUCCCCGUCUUUUGCACUUUUGAGUUUCUUUUGUUUUGAUAGUUGUUUGUGUUAAUAAACAUUUACUUUAUUUCACUUUAA